rnacentral:rRNA from 1 species
CGGGGUGCAGCAGGCGCGAAACCUUUACAAUGCUGGCAACAGCGAUAAGGGGACCUCGAGUGCCACGAUACAAUCGUGGCUGUCUAGUUGCCUAAAAAGCAAUUGAUAGCAAGGGCCGGGCAAGACCGGUGCCAGCCGCCGCGGUAACACCGGCGGCUCGAGUGGUAACCGCUAUUAUUUGGUCUAAAGGGUCUGUAGCCGGCUUAGUCAGUCUUUUGAGAAAUCUGGCCGCUCAACGGUCAGGCGUUCAGGGGAUACUGCUAAAGCUCGAGACCGGGAGAGGUGAGAGGUACUUCAGGGGUAGGGGUGAAAUCUUGUAAUCCUUGAAGGACCACCAGUGGCGAAGGCGUCUCACCAGAACGGAUCUGACGGCAAGGGACGAAAGCUAGGGGCACGAACCGGAUUAGAUACCCGGGUAGUCCUAGCCGUAAACGAUACUCGCUAGGUGUCGGCCACGGUGCGACCGUGGUCGGUGCCGUAGGGAAGCCGUGAAGCGAGCCACCUGGGAAGUACGGCCGCAAGGCUGAAACUUAAAGGAAUUGG